rnacentral:rRNA from 1 species
GAUGAACGCUGGCGGCGUGCCUAAUACAUGCAAGUCGAGCGAACGGACGCGAAGCUUGCUUCUCUGAUGUUAGCGGCGGACGGGUGAGUAACACGUGGAUAACCUACCUAUAAGACUGGGAUAACUUCGGGAAACCGGCGCUAAUACCGGAUAAUAUUUUGAACCGCAUGGUUCAAAAGUGAAAGACGGUCUUGCUGUCACUUAUAGCUGGAUCCGCGCUGCAUUAGCUAGUUGGUAAGGUAACGGCUUACCAAGGCAACGAUGCAUAGCCGACCUGAGAGGGUGAUCGGCCACACUGGAACGGAGACACGGUCCAGGCUCCUACGGGAGGCAGCAGUAGGGAAUCUUCCGCAAUGGGGGAAAGCCUGACGGAGCAACGCCGCGUGAGUGAUGAAGGUCUUCGGAGCGUAAAACUCUGUUAUUAGGGAAGAACAUAUGUGUAAGUAACUGUGCACAUCUUGACGGUACCUAAUCAGAAAGCAACGGCUAACUACGUG